rnacentral:rRNA from 1 species
CGAUGGCUAUGCCACGAGGUGACUUCUGCCCAGUGCUCUGACUGUCAACCUGAAGAGAUUCAGCCAAGCUCGGGUAAACGGCGGGAGUAACUAUGACUCUCUUGAGGUAGCCAAAUGCCUCGUCAACCAAUUAUUGACGCGCAUGAAUGGAUCAACGAGAUUCCUGCUGUCCCUGGAUGCUGUCUGGUGAACCAACAGCCAAGGGCACGGGCUUGGAUGCGCCAGCGGGGAAAGAAGACCCUGUUGAGUUUGACUCUAGUCUGAUGUCGUGCAGCGACAUGGUGGGUGUAGAAGAGGUGGGAGGCCAGUGCCAACCAACACAAGCAGCAAGAUGGCAGCAGAGCUCUCUCUAUGUGGCAUGAACCAGCAAUGAAAUACCACUACCAUCACCGUCACUUUGCUCAUUGAGUGGCUUGGGACAGCCCUGUCAAGCAGUGUGUUUCCUCGGGAACACCCAGUCUGGAACCAUGCCUCAGUGUGUGGAACCCUUCUGGAUGCAGUGGCCCAUCCGAUUCAUGCCCAAAGUGCCUUCGGGCACGUUACCCAACCAGGUUCGACCUGGAAGCCUCGAGACUGAGAUCAGUUGGGGAGUUUGGCUGGGGCGGCACGCUCGUCACAAGACAACGCAAGCGUCCUGAAGCAAUGCUCACAUGGAACAGAAAUCUCUCGCAGAGGACAAGGUCAAAGGCUCUGCUGAUGCAGGAUCCCCAGUGCGAAUCCAAAACACGCAAGUGUGGCCUGGCGAUCCUUUGGCUCCCCAUGCAAGGGUUCAGGAUACCGAAGCCAGAGGUGUCAGAAAAAUUACCACAGGGAUAACUGGCUUGUGGCUGCCAAGCGCUCAAAGCGACGUGGCUUUUUGAUCCUUCGAUGUCGGCUCUUCCUAGCUUGCCACCUGCAGCUGAGUGCAAGAGUUGGAUUGUUCACCCACCCACAGGGAACGUGAGCUGG